rnacentral:lncRNA from 1 species
ACAUAGGAUCAAAGAAAAUAGGUUUAGAGCCCGAGGCAACUGUAGAAGCCUGAAUUAAACAAGUUAUGGAGCAUUCAUGAUGUACUGCGCUAAGUUGUAGGUGUAUGAGAAAAAAGAAAAGUUGUCCUUACUGUCAAGGAGCUCACUUUCUAACGGAGUGCCCAGCAGGCACGUCAAAGAGUACAUCCCAGAUAAAUACAGCAGAGUUGGGAGGUAGCCUCAGAAAGGGAGGCAAAGCCAGUGCUCCUUCCCUCAGACUCUGGCCAUAUAUGUAGUAGGUGUCUGAGGAGGGAUGUGAACUGAGCACUUCCGCCCUCCCAAUCCAUCCCUCAAUUUACUACACUUCAUUGCCUCACAUAGAUGAUGUAUAACAGGCUGAGCCUGAGAGUCACAAUCACUAGCCAGCAGUCACUACCUCAACAGGUACAUUGAAUCUGUCCAAUGAAGUGGCAAGCUGUUUCUGGUUCAGUAUCCCAGGGACAGUUUGAGUGGGCUCUGGUGGUAAAAUGUCAGAAAAGGCAGUUUCCCAUUUCUCAGAUCGCUGCUCCCUUUUACAGUUUUUGUCCAGUGGCUUACCAGUAUGGCCAAGCCAAACUUACAAAGGAAGUUGAUUACAUUCUUUGACUAUAACAACCAUUCCCCAAAGGAAGGAGAAUUUGCAGUUUGGAGGCAAGUGAUUUGGAGCAAGGAUAAUGGUUUUCAAGGAGUCUCCUCACAGGACUGAUGGGAAAAUGGGCUUAAUUCAUAGAUGGAAAUACAACACAGUUGCCUCUGCUAUGCAUCUCUCUGGUCUCAUCAAAGGAAGUUUCCCGCUGCUGGACUUCUUCUCUUCAUGGACAUCUCCAGGCUAUCUUGGCUCCUGACUGGCAUAUUUCUGAGACUAUUGAGAAGUAGAGCUGCUAACGGAGAAGAGCAAGGUGUGGGAGGUGGAAGAGACCCUAUCAUUCAAGCAGAGAAAGCCAAAAUCUUCCUGCCUUGGUCAUAGAUUAUAGACCUAAGUACAAGACUUCCAGCACAACCAGUUUUCUCCAUGGCUUAUGUUUCCUUUUCUACUCAUUGAACAACAUAAACAGUAACAUAUAGAGAGAUAGAUCUAUAGCUUUAUCUAUUCAUCUCAUCUAGUCUUUAAGCGAAACAAUAGAAGAAAGUCUCGAAUGUUUCUAUUCUGGAGACACUUGCCCAAAUGUAAAGAAAACUCCAUUGAAACUGAAGUGCUUUAUAAGAAUGAAGUGGGCCAGAGACAGGAAGCAACAAUCAAACCGGUCCUUGGAGCCCUCCAUAGGCACUUUUGUUCCCAGGGAAGACGAAGCCCCUUUUGCCUUUGACUAAGGCAGCAGGGAGGUGGAGGGGAGUGCCCUCGACUCAGUGCCUUAGAAAAGAAGGAAGUGGCAAGGCUCAAGGGCACAUUGGGUUUGUGUCUUUUCAGUGUUCUAAAGAAAUCCCAC